UACGAAGGGGGCUAGCGUUGUUCGGAUUUACUGGGCGUAAAGCGCACGUAGGCGGGUCGUUAAGUCAGGGGUGAAAUCCCGGAGCUCAACUCCGGAACUGCCUUUGAUACUGGCGACCUUGAGGCUGGAAGAGGUUAGUGGAAUUCCCAGUGUAGAGGUGAAAUUCGUAGAUAUUGGGAAGAACACCAGUGGCGAAGGCGGCUAACUGGUCCAGACCUGACGCUGAGGUGCGAAAGCGUGGGGAGCAAACAGG
rnacentral:rRNA from 1 species